ACCAACAUCAACACAUUCACACAUUACCUUGUGUGUCUUCAGUCAUUUAAGAACCAAACCAGGAGACCAGAGGACAGAGGUCCAGUUAGUGAGUCUGAUCCCUUUCCUCUAACACCAAGCUAGUAUAAAGUCAUGAGC